rnacentral:rRNA from 1 species
GAUGAACGCUGGCGGCGUGCCUAAUACAUGCAAGUCGAGCGAAUGGAUUAAGAGCUUGCUCUUAUGAAGUUAGCGGCGGACGGGUGAGUAACACGUGGGUAACCUGCCCAUAAGACUGGGAUAACUCCGGGAAACCGGGGCUAAUACCGGAUAACAUUUUGAACCGCAUGGUUCGAAAUUGAAAGGCGGCUUCGGCUGUCACUUAUGGAUGGACCCGCGUCGCAUUAGCUAGUUGGUGAGGUAACGGCUCACCAAGGCAACGAUGCGUAGCCGACCUGAGAGGGUGAUGGGCCACACUGGGACUCAGACACGGCCCAGACUCCUACGGGAGGCAGCAGUAGGGAAUCUUCCGCAAUGGACGAAAGUCUGACGGAGCAACGCCGCGUGAGUGAUGAAGGCUUUCGGGUCGUAAAACUCUGAUGUUAGGGAAGGACAAGUGCUAGUUGAAUAAGCUGGCACCUUGACGGUACCUAACCAGAAAGCCACGGCUAACUACGUGCCAGCCGCCGCAGUAA